rnacentral:rRNA from 1 species
CGUAGGGUGCGAGCGUUAAUCGGAAUUACUGGGCGUAAAGCGUGCGCAGGCGGUUUAGUAAGACAGGCGUGAAAUCCCCGGGCUCAACCUGGGAACUGCGCUUGUGACUGCUAAGCUAGAGUACGGCAGAGGGGGGUGGAAUUCCACGUGUAGCAGUGAAAUGCGUAGAGAUGUGGAGGAACAUCAAUGGCGAAGGCAGCCCCCUGGGUCGAUACUGACGCUCAUGCACGAAAGCGUGGGUAGCAAACAGGAUUAGAUACCCUGGUAGUCCACGCCCUAAACGAUGUCAACUAGGUGUUGGGUGGGUAAAACCAUUUAGUACCGGAGCUAACGCGUGAAGUUGACCGCCUGGGGAGUACGGCCGCAAGGUUA